ACGUGGAGCGGCCGUCCCCGUGGGUACCGGCGGAGCGGAGAGGUUCCGCCGUGGGCAACGGGAACGAGGGCGGCGUGGAGCGGAGAGUCAAUCAGAUACAGAGCAGAACGCGAAAUGGCCGCCGGGAGAGCCACAGCGGGGUGUCCAGCUUCACUAAAAAACACGUUGCCUCCUGUCUGCCUUCUCCAGACCAGCAGUAUGGAUGAUGCUCAGAUAGUGGUGUCUGCAGCUCCAGCACUCUGGACUCUAGGCAGAGCUGCAAGAUCCACCAUUUCUGGAUUGCAUGGGCAAAGUGUGUAACCAUUUGCAGGGAUUAAUGGUUUUGUAACAUCUCUGUUUUAGUGGGGACAGCAGCAACAUCCCCACGGUGUCCCCAGGAUCAGGAGGUCUUGAAGUCAGUGGUGUUUGCAGGGUGCCUGCAAGGUUGUGGGACAAGCUGCAGAGAAUAACUACAAAUAAACCACUUUUAUUCCAGCCCUUCCCAAGGCAGAAGUUCCCAGCACAGUGCAGGACCUUGCUGCAGCCAAGCCAGAGCAGGGAGAUUGCCAACAGAGAACAGACAACCCUCAUGCUGAACAUUUUGAGUGGGAAGGCAGCCUGCUGAGCUGCCAGUGACCGCAAACAGGCCUCCACGUUCAGUCACAAACAGAAAUCCUUACCAUUUAUUUACAAACUCCUGGAAAUCUUGCGUGAAAACUCCAUUUGGCAACUUGGGAGGUGGCUGCAGAGAGAGGAAAAAGGAUUAAUGGGUCAAAACGUAAAUGCCUUAGAGCACAGCUUUCAGUUGCUUCCUUCCCAUUCUAUCGGUGGCCAAGACGACUUUGGAGCAGUUUGAGGGGCUCUAUUGAUAAGUCCCUGUCAAGCAAAGGUUUUUGAGCCUCCUUUGACCUUUUAGAGUGGACACAACACCAACCCAGGGCAGCAGAGCCUACCAUAGUGCAAUACUCACCUCAUUAACUAUAUAGUCCAGCAGUUCAAAAAUGGCCAUUGCAGGUCGGUUGUCCAUUCCAUGGCCUGUGUGGUUAAGAUGAAAGAAAUACUGGUGAGAAGCUGUUCAGACACCAAAGGGCUUCAUUUCACACAAAGAAAACCCACACUGGGACUUUGGUUGGGAGAAGCAGAGGGCACCAAACUUGGGAAUUAACCCACUGUUAAAAACAAAAUCCCCCAAACCACCUCCUAAGCUCCCCAUAUAAGACCAGAACCCCGCAGGCUCUCAGGAUUAGAAACCUCCACAGCAGAGCUGGAUUCUCCUACAGCACAAACAUGGCUCUGUCUGCAGGAAGGAGUGAGAUGAGAACCCUCCCUCCCCACAACCUCAUUCACAGCAGCUUUUGCUGACCCAGCCACACCAACAGAACCCAUCCCCUUGCCCCCAUGCCUGCGUGUUGCAUCUCAUGCAGCAUGGCAGCCCCUCCAAAUGCAGCAUGGCAGCCCCUCCAAAUGCAGCAUGGCAGCCCCUCCAAAUGCAGCAUGGCAGCCCCUCCAAGUGCAGCAUGGCAGCCCCUCCAAGUGCAGCAUGGCAGCCCCUCCAAGUGCAGCAUGGCAGCCCCUCCAAGUGCAGCAUGGCAGCCCCUCCAAGUGCAGCAUGGCAGCCCCUCCAAGUGCAGCAUGGCAGCCCCUCCAAGUGCAGCAUGGCAGCCCCUCCAAGUGCAGCAUGGCAGCCCCUCCAAGUGCAGCAUGGCAGCCCCUCCAAGUGCAGCAUGGCAGCCCCUCCAAGUGCAGCAUGGCAGCCCCUCCAAGUGCAGCAUGGCAGCCCCUCCAAGUGCAGCAUGGCAGCCCCUCCAAGUGCAGCAUGGCAGCCCCUUACCACUGAUGGGGCGGCCUGGGGGUCUGGCCCGCGGCGAGACGCUGUGAGAUUCUCCCUCUGCCCCAUCCACCACAGGACGGCCAAAUAUUGCUUCCAGUUCCUUGGAGUCUGGUGGGGGUAUUGGGUACCUUCCAAUAGAAAGCUCCACCAGUGACAGACCCAUGCUCCAGAUGUCGGACUGGACUGAGUAAUGAGUGCCCUGCAAUCGCUCAGGCUGGAAGAAAAAAAAACACAGAGGUAAGAAACCUGAAGCAUCCUCUCUAUGAGAGGUGUCCUCCAAGCAGCCAGCGCUCCUGAUGCCUGCCAGAAGCACUGAUGUCUGCAGAGAAAGCAUUUCUGGGGGGUGGGGGAACUCCCAAGUCACAGCAAACACAAAGCACUUGCACACAUCUAACCAACAGAUACAGCUGAGCAGCCUUUGCAGUUGCUCAUGCUGUGGACUUCUGAGUGUGAAGUAUUUCUCAGUGAGCUGAGAUCUCAA